AGUCGUUUUGCAGGUCUUGUAGGUGGAUACAUUUUUUUGAAAGGCAUGAUUGACGCUCAUGAAUGGCAGUGGAAAAACGAGUCCAGCAAGUUAGAAAAAAAUUCCAAGUCUCAUUUUCCGUCAUCGUACAAAACCCCCCCUCUGCCCAGGAGUUGAUCAUCUUUAGUUCUCAGAAAGAGAGGUGAAGUUAUUGGUGCGUACUUUCUCAUCCGAGUAGUCUACAGGUCCUAGCCGACACAACGUCUCUGAUAUUCUCAGAGACAUAAAAGGACAUGGAUAUGAAGCCUCUGAUGAUUCUCCUCCUGCUAGCAGCAGGAGCUGUCACCACCAACACUCCUGCAGCAGCUGCUACCAACAACACUCCUGCAGCAGCUGUUACCACCACAACUCCUGCAGCAGCUGUCACCACCACCACUCCUGCAGCAGCUGUCACGACCACCACUCCUGCAGCAGCUGUCACGACCACCACUCCUGCAGCAGCUGUCACCACCACCACUCCUGCAGCAGCUGUCACCACCACCACUCCUGCAGCAGAUGUUACCAC